ensembl:lncRNA novel transcript, antisense to LHX2
UGGCGUCCCUGUCUGCAGCGCCGCGUCUGUCGACUUGUCCACGCCCGUGUUUUCCUGCCGUAAGAGGUUGCGCCUGAACUUGGCUCGGGCGUUCUGGAACCAGACCUGCGGGGGACGACAGGGAAGGGCUGGUGAGCGGAAGGCAGGCAGAGCAUCCCCCCGACUGCUUCACUCAGAGCUCUGCUGCCUCUGGGGACGCUGAUCUGUGUUUUGCCAAGAGGAUCCAAAAAGUCAGAGACGGGGUCUUGCAAUGUUGACCAGGCUGGUCUCAAACUCCAGGCUUCAAGUGAUCCCUCCUGCCUCAGCCUCCUAAAGCGUUGGGAUUACAGAUGUGGUUCCAGAGCUGAGCUGUACUCCCGAAUAUCACAGCCACGAGCCACGUAUGGCUGCUGAGCACUUAAAAUGGCAUUAGCCCAAAUUCAACCAGUCUGCAGGUGAAAACACACAACCUAUCUGAAGGCUGAAUAUGAAAAAAAAAGCAGGUAGAAUAUCUCAAUAAUUUUUAUAUUGAUUACAUGUCGAAAUGAUUAAUAGUUUGGCUAUACUGAGUUAAGCAAAAUACAUUAUUAAAAUUAAUUUUA